rnacentral:lncRNA from 1 species
CAGCCAACUUUGCGAGAAGAACGAAACAACAAACAAUUUUGGUGGAGGAGUUUCGGAAACUUACACCAUACUUAUCGAGGCAGUGAUGGUGUAACCGAUGGCCGUUCCCAUCAAGUUGCUGUACUGGACAAGCGCGCAGCACCAGAGCUGGAUCUCACCUGGAGGAGCCAACACAACAACAGGCAUUUAAGUCGGGGAGCAUGAACGAGGUACGGUCUUCGAGUAGAAUCUCACCGAGGUUGGCUUUGACGGCGUCCUUGUAUCUGUAGUUUCGCUUGCCGGUGACGGGGUCCGGAGAGCGGUAGCAAUCCGUGAGCAGCAGCGACGUGAAGAAGGUGAUGGCGGCGAAGAUGAGCAGCACAACGGGGCCAGCGAUCCAGCCAAUUUGGGCCA